rnacentral:tRNA from 1 species
UUUACUGUAGCUCAGAGGUAGAGUACUUGCCUAACAUGCAUGAUGCCCUGGGUUCAAUCCCCAGCAGAGCAA